CCCUCAAUCUGCCCCCCUCCCACACAGCUGCUCCUCUACCCAUCUUUCCAUCCCUGCUCAGCCCUUCUCCUCCCACCUUGGCCCCUCAACUCCUGAGAACCCCUGGAGCCUCGAGCCUCUUCCCUGUUAUGGACUCUGGAGGGGCUCAGAGCCCCAUGAGCUGCCAUGGGAGGCUGAAACGGGCUGGCUGGGAACACAAAAUGAACCUCACCCACCAACACUUUGUAUUGGUCACACCCAGAGCUUCCUCUUGGAAGGCAGGAAGGUUUCAAGGGCCCCAGGGAUCUUCACCCCAAUUUCUUCCUUAAAUCUGUUAAAAAUUAUGGUGAAAAACUCAUAACAUUACAUUCCCUACCAUUCACCGGGAACCAGGAUACAGAUGAGCAGGGGUAUCAAUAUUCUCAGGGGCGUACAAUGCAUCUCUAGCACCCGUUCGUUUUGUAACAGGAAGUCUGUACCCACAGUUUCCUGUUUGCUCCUCCUCGCCCCCACCAGCCCCACAUGUCUUCUUUCUGUUUCUAUAAAUUUGACUAUGACGGGUAGGACAUACAAGUGGAAUCAUAGGGUAUUUGUCUUGCUGCGACCUGCUCAUUUCAUGUGGCAGCGGGUCCAGAACUCACUUCUUCCUUAGGAUCGAUGCUCGUUCCACUGGAGCUGGAUGCCCCAUGAUCUUUCUCCGUUCCUCUGUGCGUGGACACGUGGGCUGCGUCUACAUCUUGACUCUUGUGAACAACACUGCGAUGAACAGGGAUGAGCGGGGAUCCCUUCAUACUGUUGGCUUUCAGUUCUUACAGAUGUAAAAUGAAUAAGGAGUUGGCUCCAUCACAUGGAUCGAUGCUCGUUCCACUGGAGCUGGAUGCCCCAUGAUCUUUCUCCGUUCCUCUGUGCGUGGACACGUGGGCUGCGUCUACAUCUUGACUCUUGUGAACAACACUGCGAUGAACAGGGAUGAGCGGGGAUCCCUUCAUACUGUUGGCUUUCAGUUCUUACAGAUGUAAAAUGAAUAAGGAGUUGGCUCCAUCACAUGGAUCGAUGCUCGUUCCACUGGAGCUGGAUGCCCCAUGAUCUUUCUCCGUUCCUCUGUGCGUGGACACGUGGGCUGCGUCUACAUCUUGACUCUUGUGAACAACACUGCGAUGAACAGGGAUGAGCGGGGAUCCCUUCAUACUGUUGGCUUUCAGUUCUUACAGAUGUAAAAUGAAUAAGGAGUUGGCUCCAUCACAUGGAUCGAUGCUCGUUCCACUGGAGCUGGAUGCCCCAUGAUCUUUCUCCGUUCCUCUGUGCGUGGACACGUGGGCUGCGUCUACAUCUUGACUCUUGUGAACAACACUGCGAUGAACAGGGAUGAGCGGGGAUCCCUUCAUACUGUUGGCUUUCAGUUCUUACAGAUGUAAAAUGAAUAAGGAGUUGGCUCCAUCACAUGAAGCGACAAGUGAACAUCAUCAACAGAAAGAAGGCAGCCGAUGGUCCGUUGUCAGCAUGACUCUUUGGUCCAGAUGAUGCUUCCAGUCUCUCGGGGUAUGACCCCUGCCAGUGGGGUCGCAGAAACCUAGACUGAAUUCCACUAAUCAGAAGGAACGUUGUACACUAGGACCCCCAGAGUCAGUAUCUUCAAGCUCCACGAGGAAAGGAAACAAAAGAUCCUCAGGACAAAAUGUAGGUUGGAUUACUACUGUCUUUGUAGUUGGGCCCAUGAAGCACAGACAUGCCAGUAAUCUUGACAGCACACAGAAUACAAGCAAGACCGAAGGAUGUGGGUGGUGAAUGUGCCCCAACCAGUGACUCUGUGACUGUAGCUGCAACAUCCAGGCUGUUCUGGCCACCAGCAGGGCUGCGGUCACACAGCACCACAGGCUGCAGGACAGAAAGGUGUUGCUCCAGCUGGGGCCUCACUCCGGUCCAUGCAUCUUGUCAGCACAAUUUGUGAAUCCUAGAGUUUCAUAGAUCAGAAGCCAAUGAUAUAGCCAAUGAUCACCCAAAAUAAUCUCUUUAUUCAUUCAUUCAUUCAUUCAGGAGAGCGAGAGAGGGAAAGAGCAUGGGCAUGAGCAUGCGGAGUAAGGGAGCAGAGGCAGAAGGAGAGAGAGAAUCCCAAGCCGACUUUCCACUUGGGGCAGAGCCUGACACAUGGCUCCAUCCCUGGAGCCCUCAACCAUGAGCUCAAAACCAAGAGCCACCCAAGUGCUCUGAUAAUCUCCCCAUUUAAGGGCCACAUUAACACCUUUAAUUCCCCAUUGCCAUGUCCAGUCAUGCAUUCACAGGCUGGGGAGCAGGCAUGGACAUCUCUGGGUGCAACUCUUCUGCCUACCGCACUCAGUUUCCACUGUCUCCUCCCUGAGGCCCUCUCCAGCUGGUAAGCAGAGCGAUACCACUAGAACAGCAUCAUAUAAGAUAGAUCAUGUCACUUCUGGAAUAUCAAUCAAUCCAAAAACAGUCUCUUUACAGACUUCCAGUGGCCCAUCAAAUAAGGCACAGAGUCCCUCUUGUGGCCCCCAGAGCCCUGCAUGAUGGGUCCCCAGGCUUCAGGCACACUGGCUGCUCCAGGAUUGGGGGCAGGUGGGUGUGAAUAGGGAUGGUGGGUCUCCCCGGCCUUUCACUCAUGGAGGGAUAUUUCAUUUCUUUUUAUUGUGUGGUGAGGUCGUGAAGGUCGUGAAGAGUUAAGCCUCUGGGUCAUUUUCUCCCUGAAGAGCUCCUCCAUGUAGCUCUUUAGACGUUGUGCUAGCCUUCCUGUGAUCAUCGGCUCAGCAUGUUCCAGCAGCUUUAUGGACUCGGCCUCUACCUUAGUGAAACAAGCCUGUGAGUGGUUGAUCCAGCUGGACCAAAGAAUAACAGAAUCUGCGAUUACACCCUUGUCUGAAGUCCCCACUGUGGGAGGAUGGCGAAUAGUAGCUAUUACCGUAUUGAACUAUGAUCCUUUUCUGCUAAAUUUUGAGGGGGGCUCAAAAACCACAAGUAGUAUUUUUGUCUCUAGGAUUCAAGGUACCUCUACAUAACUGAUGCCAUAUUUUGGUUUCGUUUUUUAAAUUGUGAUAUAAUUGACACACAAUGUUAUUGUAGUUUCUGGUACAACAGAACUAGUAUUGAACAGAAAGCCUAGUUAAUACCUGUUACCACACAUUACAAAAUUUAUUUUUCUUGUGAUAAGAACUGUUAAGAUCUACUCUCUUAGCAACUUUCAAAUAUGCUAAAAAGUGUUAUUAACUGUAGUCCUCAUGCUGUGCAUUACAUCCCCAAGACCUUUCUUAUAUUAUAAUCAGGUGUUUGUACCUUUUGAGGAUCUGCACCAUUACGUUUCCCAUCCCACUCUGCUUCUGGCAACCACCUGUUUAUUCUCUGUAUCUGUGAACUUGUUUUUUCUUAAUUUUUGUUUUUAUGAUCCACAUAUAAGUGACGUCAUAUGGUAUUUGUCUUUCUCUAAAUUAUUUCAUUUAUCAUAUUGUUCUGAAGGUCUAUAUAUGGUGUCACAACUGGCAAGAUUUCCUCCUUUUAAUUAAUUAAUUAAUUAAUUAAUUUAGAGGGAGCACGUGUAAGCAGGGGUGCCACAGAGCCAGGAUAGUUGGAUGUGAACAUAUGAAGAAAGACUCAGAAUCUCACUGAAUUUUCAUCCGAGACCUGGACUCAGACCCUGAGGCUGCGGCAGGAGGCGCGGGAUUAGCAGCAGCGGCAGGCGGAGGAAGAAGCCCGGUGGGCCCGAGAGGCCCAGGCCUGGGCGCAGCUCAAGGAGCAGGAAGUGUUGCAGCUGCAGGAGGAAGCAAAAAAUUUCAUUACCCGAGAGAACCUGGAGGCACGGGUGGAAGAAGCAUUGGACUCGCUGCUGAAGAGCUACAAUUGGGCUAUCACCAGGGAAGGGCUGGUGGUCAGACCACAGCAUAAGGGAUCGUAAGGGUCCAGUAAGGACAGUGCCCACCCAGGGACCAUGUGUGUAUGGGGUAGGAGGGUUGAGCCGGAUCUGGAAUAGAUAUGUUGUUGCUGCUUGGGAAGAAGGAGGCUCAGCCUAUUCCAGUGUCCUCCUCACAUUCUGCCCUGCACCCACCACCUGGUUGGCAGUUCCCAUAUACACUGUCCUGUUCUACACCAUGUACGACUCAGCAAAGCAGCAGACCUUAGAGGUUUCCAGCUCACAGUGGCGCAGAAUGGACCACAGUCCCCUCGAUCAACUAGGUCAUUUACUAAGUGUCAUCAAGGACAUGGACAGAGGUUGGCAAAUUACAGUCCUUUGGCCCAAUCUGUCCUACUGCCUGUUUUUGUAAAUAAAUUUUAUUGGAACACACACACAAAAAAA